CGCUAUAAUGCAUUAUAAGGGCUCCUAGAGAUGCGCUAUAAUGCAUUAUAAGGGCUCCUAGAGAUGCGCUAUAAUGCAUUAUAAGGGCUCCUAGAGAUGCGCUAUAAUGCAUUAUAAGGGCUCCUAGAGAUGCGCUAUAAUGCAUUAUAAGGGCUCCUAGAGAUGCGCUAUAAUGCAUUAUAAGGGCUCCUAGAGAUGCGCUAUAAUGCAUUAUAAGGGCUCCUAGAGAUGCGCUAUAAUGCAUUAUAAGGGCUCCUAGAGAUGCGCUAUAAUGCAUUAUAAGGGCUCCUAGAGAUGCGCUAUAAUGCAUUAUAAGGGCUCCUAGAGAUGCGCUAUAAUGCAUUAUAAGGGCUCCUAUAGAUGCGCUAUAAUGCAUUAUAAGGGCUCCUAGAGAUGCGCUAUAAUGCAUCGUACCUGUUGGCGCUUUAGUGAAGACUCUCCCUGACACAACACGUUAAGCCUGUUGAUGAAUCUGAUUUGCACUGUGUGAAAUGAAGGAGAGGAAGGAAGCUUUUAUUUAUUCUAGACUUGUUUUAAAGUAGUGUGUCGACCCACUGGGAGAGGCUGCUGAGCUACACACGACACAGACCUUUUCUUCACGUUUUCUGUUGGAGACUUCAUUCAGUGGGAAAUGACACCAGGUCAGAAUUUGCAGGUAUGUUUUUGUAAUUUUGCGGAGGUUUCACAACGUGGAAUUAGAAUUAAUAUAUUGGAAUGAAUAGAAUGAAUAGAUUGGAAUGAAUAGAUUGGAAUGAAUAGAAUGAAUAGAUUGGAAUGAAUAGAAUGAAUAGAUUGGAAUGAAUAGAAUGAAUAGAUUGGAAUGAAUAGAAUGAAUAGAUUGGAAUGAAUAGAAUGAAUAGAUUGGAAUGAAUAGAUUGGAAUGAAUAGAAUGAAUAGAUUGGAAUGAAUAGAAUGAAUAGAUUGGAAUGAAUAGAAUGAAUAGAUUGGAAUGAAUAGAUUGGAAUGAAUAGAAUGAAUAGAUUGGAAUGAAUAGAAUGAAUAUAUUGGAAUGAAUAGAAUGAAUAGUUAUUCAUUGACCACUCCUGGUUACAGUUGGACUGCAGUGAUUGUCUGCGUCCAUUAGGUGGGGUUGUUGAGGUCUGUAGCUUUCCGAGCAGGACACAGUGGUUGUGGGAUUGAAGUGAAGGUAUUUAUGACAGUGUGUACAACAUGUACAUGGCCAAGGGAAACCUCUGGGCUCGGGUUGGGCGCUACCCACACUUCCAUACUGGGGCGUACGGUACUAACAGAAGGGCACACAAAGGACACUUUCAAAUUAUUAUUAUUAUUUUAAACAUUUUUACGAUAUGGAAAAUCAUACCGUGGGUAUUUUGAAAUACCCCGGUAUACGGUAUAUCGGCCGACUCUGGACCCUCAGUAUAUACUACUGCCUGUAUAGGGAUGUUACGGUACCUACCCAGAACUCUGCUUGUGUUCUAGAUGGAACCCUAUGUAGUUCACUAUAUAUCUCUGUUUGUCUCUCUCUGUUUCUCUCUGUCUGUCUCUCUCUCCCUCUCUGUCUGUCUCUCUCUCUGUAUCUCUGUCUCUCUCUCUGUCUCUCGGUCUGUCUGUCUUGCUCUCUGUUUCUCUCUCUGUGUUUCUCUCUGUCUCUCUGUUUCUCUCUCUGUCUCUCGGUCUGUCUGUCUGUCUCUCUGUCUGUCUGUCUUGUUCUCUGUUUCUCUCUCUCUGUUUCCCUCUCUGUCUCUCUCUCUCUGUGUGUCUCUGUCUCUCGGUCUGUCUCUCUGACUCUCUGUCUCUCUCUCUGUCUCUCUGACUCUCUGUCUCUCUGACUCUCUGUCUCUCUCUCUGUCUCUCUGACUCUCUGUCUCUCUGACUCUCUGUCUCUCUGACUCUCUGUCUCUCUCUCUGUCUGUCUGUCUGUCUGUCUGUCUGUCUGUCUGUCUGUCUGUCUGUCUGUCUGUCUGUCUGUCUGUCUGUCUGUCUGUCUGUCUGUCUGUCUGUCUGUCUGUCUCUCUCUCUGUCAUAAGUGCCAUUUGGGACACAGUCUAUAUUUUUUCUCUAGAUGUUUUGCACUCUGACCUGCUGCUAUAGAAACAUAUACAUUUACAUUGUCAAUGUAAAAAUCGACGCUGUGUUUCUCUGAGUUGAAAACAUAAGACCAUCUGAAUGACAACAUGCAGACAGGGUGGGCUCUGGUCUAAAGUAGUGCACUAUGUAGGGAGUAGGGUGCCAUUUGGGAUACAGAUGGUCUGUUUGUAUUUCAGUUGGUGUGUCAGUCUUUACUAGCCAGGAUGCCAGAUAUGUUUGUUGUGACUGUCUGUGUAGAAGCUGGAGACGGGCUGGUAUAACCUGGCAACCCGGCUGGAUCAUUUCCAACAGAGAUGACUGAUCGUCUCCACAAAAAGGUCCGCUGUAUCGCCUGGCAACCCGACGAUUUCUAGAAUGGAAAUCCAUACUAGACCGUCUGAUUGGUCCAACCCGACCAGAGCCAGAACACGUGUGGCUGUAGCUUCAUUUUGAUACUCUGAUUGGUUAGAGAUGAUCCAAUCGCUGAUGACGACUUCAUUUUGAUACUCUGAUUGGUUAGAGAUGAUCCAAUCGCUGAUGACAACUUCCCUGGUUAGACUCCAAACAGCUGUAGGGUCAGAUUGGACCCCCUGGUUUGACUCCAAACAGCUGUAGGGUCAGAUUGGACCCCCUGGUUUGACUCCAAACAGCUGUAGGGUCAGAUUGGACCCCCUGGUUAGACUCCAAACAGCUGUAGGGUCAGAUUGGACACCCUGGUUUGACUCCAAACAGCUGUAGGGUCAGAUUGGACCCCCUGGUUUGACUCCAAACAGCUGUAGGGUCAGAUUGGACCCCCUGGUUUGACUCCAAACAGCUGUAGGGUCAGAUUGGACCCCCUGGUUUGACUCCAAACAGCUGUAGGGUCAGAUUGGACCCCCUGGUUAGACUCCAAACAGCUCUAGGGUCAGAUUGGACCCCCUGGUUAUACCCCAAACCCUCAGAUGAUCAUAUGGAAUCAACUUGUUUUUUCUAGUUAUUUUUCUGACAUGAUUUAAAAUCUGUUUUUCUUCUUUCAAUCCUCUGUUUGUUUUGACACUUUGUCUUCGGUCACUGGAUGAUUUAGUAUCUGAAAUGGCACCCUAUUCCCUAUGUAGGGCUCUGAUCAGAAGUAGUGCACUAUGUAGGGAAUAGGGUGUUAUAGAGCUCUGGCACCCUAUUCCCUAUGUAGGGCUCUGAUCAGAAGUAGUGCACUAUGUAGGGAAUAGGGUGCCAUUUGGGAUGUAGAUUUACUGUCUGUUGCUUGUUUUUGUUUUGUGUUUUUUGUACAGUUCUAGAUGUUCAGUAAACAUGAUCCUGUUUUAUAACUAUUUGAAAACCCCGUUUUGUGAACUAAUAAAGUGAUGUAUUAA